AUGGCCUGCGCCCUGGGCUUGGAGCCCUUCCCCCUUGGCCAUACCCAUGUCCAGAGGCAGCCCCAGGGCCACCCACUCCCGGCCCGCAGACCCCCUGCACAGCAAGGAUCCGAUCUUGCCUGUGCUGCCCGGUUGGGCCCGGCUGGCUCCAGUGGGUGGCCCUGUGGACGUGGCUGGUCUGCAGUUCCCGUGGCCUCCCUCCAGCCAAGUGAACCUAGUGGGUCACCUUGUUUUUCCUGGCAGGAGCAGACGUGGGCUCAGACCUCAUGCCAGCCGUGGACAGGAUAUCCCAACCAUCCAUAUUUGCUGUCGUUCUGGCAGAGGAGGACAUGGUGGGGGUGGGGCAGGGCGCUGCUUUCCCUGGGGAGCCUUGCUGCUCUGGCCCGAGCCCUGAGUCCCUAUUCUAUGCCCCCUCAUGCUCCCCAUGUGGGCUUCUGUGGCCACCCAGUUGGAUCAGAUCCAGACCUGGGGAAAGGGGUGCCCCGCAGCCGUGUAAAGGAACGAAGGGUCUCUUUGUGUCCCGAAUCGGAAGAAGAUGACGCGGUCCAAGCGGCCGCGAGCAUGCGCGCUGCUUUCCGAGGGACUGGGGAGGAAACGGGUCUCCGAAGUACCAACUUCCACUCAAGUUUGCCUCCGGCACUGUCCACCCCACUGCCGGGGAAGGAGUGCGUGUGCGCGUGCGCGUGUGUAAGCCCUGGGCGUCUGGACAGAAGGACACCGAUGGCCGAGCUCGACAUGGGGGUCCACACUUGGGGGAGGGUCCCUCAGUCCAGCGUGGCAGCGGGGAAGCCCAAGGGUGAGCGGGGCCCGCCUCGCCGGGUUAUGGGCUGGGCCCCGCCCCAGGCUUCACGGGCUGCCGAUGUCCUCCUGGCAGCAGGGCGCCUCUCGAGCAUCAGAGCAGGGGACCCGCGUCCUGGAGAGGUCCCACUGGGAUGCCUGGCGGGUAUGGUGGCAGAUCUGCAGACACAGGGACAUGAGUAAAAGGGGCCUCGCUGAACUGGAGUCUGGAGGCCAGCAGGGGCGGCUCUCACCCCAACCACUCCUCCGCUGCAGGCCCGACAGGGAGAGCCGCACCUUGCAGGCUGCUACUACCACCCGACUAGGUAGGAAGCCCAGUGUCCUCCUCCCUGGCUGGUGAGAGACGCCAGUGCUCAGCCAUGGGAAGCCCUAGACUUCCAGCUCCCACUUCACUCCAAUGAGCUCUCAGUUUGCAACUGCUCUUCCUCGCACCCCUGCCCUUUCUACAAAAGAGCCUCCCUUGGAUGCCCCGCAGCUCAGUCAUUAAGCGUCUGCCUUUGGCUACAACGCCGGGUCCUGGGAUGGAGCCCCGCAUUGGGCUCCCUGCUUGGUGGGAAGCCUGCUUCUCCCUCUCCCACUCCCCCUGCUUGUGUUCCCUCUCUCGCUGUGCCUCUCUCUGUCAAAUAAAUAAAUAAAAUCUUAAAAAAAAAAAAAAGAGCCCCUCUUCUGUUCUGCGGAGGUGACU
rnacentral:lncRNA from 1 species